CCGGAUAUGCCGAGAGGUGAAAGGCUAGCUGCCUGAARAUGAGCUCGCGUCUGAUUAGCUAGUAGGUGUGGUAAAAGCGCACCUAGGCGACGAUCAGUAGCUGGUCUGAGAGGAUGAUCAGCCACACUGGGACUGARACACGGCCCARACUCCUACGGGAGGCAGCAGUGGGGAAUUUUCCGCAAUGGGCGAAAGCCUGACGGAGCAAUACCGCGUGAGGGAGGAAGGCUCUUGGGUUGUAAACCUCUUUUCUCAGGGAARAAAAAAAUGACGGUACCUGAGGAAUAAGCAUCGGCUAACUCCGUGCCAGCAGCCGCGGUAAUACGGAGGAUGCAAGCGUUAUCCGGAAUGAUUGGGCGUAAAGGGUCCGCAGGUGGCUAUGUAAGUCUGCUGUUAAAGAACCUAGCUUAACUAGGUAAAAGCAGUGGAAACUACAAGGCUAGAGUGCGUUCGGGGUAGAGGGAAUUCCUGGUGUAGCGGUGAAAUGCGUAGAUAUCAGGAAGAACACCAGUGGCGAAGGCGCUCUACUAGGCCGCAACUGACACUGAGGGACGAAAGCUAGGGGAGCGAAUGGGAUUAGAUACCCCAGUAGUCCUAGCCGUAAACGAUGGAUACUAGGCGUGGCUUGUAUCGACCCGAGCCGUGCCGGAGCUAACGCGUUAAGUAUCCCGCCUGGGGAGUACGCACGCAAGUGUGAAACUCAAAGGAAUUGACGGGGGCCCGCACAAGCGGUGGAGUAUGUGGUUUAAUUCGAUGCAACGCGAAGAACCUUACCAAGACUUGACAUGUCGCGAAUCUUCUUGAAAGGGAAGAGUGCCUUAGGGAGCGCGAACACAGGUGGUGCAUGGCUGUCGUCAGCUCGUGUCGUGAGAUGUUGGGUUAAGUCCCGCAACGAGCGCAACCCUCGUUUUUAGUUGCCAGCAUUAAGUUGGGCACUCUAGAGAGACUGCCGGUGACAAACCGGAGGAAGGUGGGGAUGACGUCAAGUCAGCAUGCCCCUUACGUCUUGGGCUACACACGUACUACAAUGCUACGGACAAAGGGUAGCUACACAGCAAUGUGAUGCCAAUCUCAGAAACCGUAGCUCAGUUCAGAUCGCAGGCUGCAACUCGCCUGCGUGAAGUCGGAAUCGSUAGUAAUUGCAGGUCAGCAUASUGCAGUGAAUUCGUUCCCGGGCCUUGUACACACCGCCCGUCACACCAUGGAAGCUGGUCACGCCCGAAGUCGUUACCCCAACUUUUCGGAGAGGGGGAUGCCGAAGGCAGGACUGGUGACUGGGGUGAAGUCGUAACAAGGUAGCCGUMCCGGAAGGUGUGGCUGGAUCACCUCCUUUUAGGGAGACCUAAUCCAYUCAAACAUCGAAAACYUMMAGUGAUUAGAUAMUGAGUUGGUCAUUCCUAGGUYGGUCGAGUAUUUGUUGAGCUUUCAAAGUAUUAUUGGUUCAGUUCAGAUACAUCUAAAUUUGUAAUUKGAAUAMGAAUUCAGCAAUUGAUUGUUUAGACAAUCGAACUGCUGGGUGAUUAYCCAGCC
rnacentral:rRNA from 1 species